CUUCAGGGGCCUUCUCAGGCGGAUGCUGGCAGGAACGGUUUUAUCCAUCAGCUCAUCGAUACUCUGAAAAAGGACAUUCACUAAUUGGGGAUUCCCCUCCUUCUCAUCCUCACUGCAAGCGGCAGCAAGCUUUAAUAACUUGAACCCCAGAGGCAGGAUAUCCUCAGUACCACCUGACCUUUUUUGGGGUGAAUCCUUCCUUGGAUGCAUAGGCACAGAGAGAUGUAGUCUACCUUUUAUAGCUGGGGUGAAUCUAGCCCAGUGUUGAAGAUUCUUCAGACUUCCUUGAAGCCUUACUUGUAGAAUGGCUACUGCUUCCAGCUAGAAGGUUUUCCUCACCACCAAGUCUUAUAAACAAGCAGUAAGGAUGAAUUAACAAAUUCUGUUUUUUAAAUGUAUCUACAGUACAGAUGAUUGUUAGCAAAUAAAAGAUCUUAACCCUUAGAAAAUAAAAAGCACACCCUGAAGAUGUUUCUGGAUCUUGUGUUACUGCUACAUACUAAUUUUGAGAGGUCACUACCUAAACACACAAACAGCUUAUUUUCUCAUAAAAUAUUCAAGCUCUAUCCUGAGUCUCCAUACUGUCUGUUUUAAGUACUAUGAAAAUCCCAUUACAUAAAUAAGUAAUUUGAAAAUGUACGUAAUAUGAUCUACCAGGCCAGAUGUGUCUCAUUAUGUUUCUGUGUUUACCACUUUACAGGAAAAAGCAUCACAUUGUAUUUCUGUCAUCAGGAACUGGUAGCAAAUUUUAUUACCGGGGGAAAAAAAUUACUUUCCAAAGUUCCCUUAGGAUGA